rnacentral:rRNA from 1 species
GACGAACGCUGGCGGCGUGCUUAACACAUGCAAGUCGAACGGUGAAGCGCCUUCCUUUUUGGUGGGUGUGGAUGAGUGGCGAACGGGUGAGUAACACGUUAGUAACCUGCCCCCUUCUUCUGGAUAACCGCAUGAAAGUGUGGCUAAUACGGGAUAUUCUGGGUCUGUCGCAUGAUGGGUCUGGGAAAGAUAUUGUUUCGGUGGGGGAUGGGCUCGCGGCCUAUCAGCUUGUUGGUGGGGUGAUGGCCUACCAAGGCGGUGACGGGUAGCCGGCCUGAGAGGGUGGACGGUCACACUGGGACUGAGACACGGCCCAGACUCCUACGGGAGGCAGCAGUGGGGAAUAUUGCACAAUGGGCGCAAGCCUGAUGCAGCGACGCCGCGUGAGGGAUGGAGGCCUUCGGGUUGUGAACCUCUUUCGCCAGUGAAGCAGGCCUGCCCCGUUUGUGGGUGGGUUGACGGUAGCUGGAUAAGAAGCGCCGGCUAACUACGUG